UACGGAGGGGGCUAGCGUUGUUCGGAAUUACUGGGCGUAAAGGGCUCGUAGGCGGCCAACUAAGUCGGAUGUGAAAUCCCCAGGCUCAACUUGGGAACUGCAUCCGAUACUGGAUGGCUUGAAUCCGGGAGAGGGAUGCAGAAUUCCAGGUGUAGCGGUGAAAUGCGUAGAUAUCUGGAGGAAUACCGGUGGCGAAGGCGGCAUCCUGGACCGGCAUUGACGCUGAUGAGCGAAAGCUAGGGGAGCAAACGGG
rnacentral:rRNA from 1 species